AGAAUCAACGCUGGCGGCGUGCCUAACACAUGCAAGUCGCACGAGAAAGGGUAGCAAUACCUGAGUACAGUGGCGCACGGGUGAGUAACACGUGAAUAAUCUACCUCCGAGUGGGGAAUAACUGAGAGAAAUCUUAGCUAAUACCGCAUAACACUUACGAGUCAAAGCAGCAAUGCGCUUGGAGAGGAGUUCGCGGCCGAUUAGUUAGUUGGCGGGGUAAUGGCCCACCAAGACGAUGAUCGGUAUCCGGCCUGAGAGGGCGCACGGACACACUGGAACUGAAACACGGUCCAGACUCCUACGGGAGGCAGCAGUGGGGAAUUUUGCGCAAUGGGGGAAACCCUGACGCAGCAACGCCGCGUGGAGGAUGAAGCCCCUUGGGGUGUAAACUCCUUUCGAUCGGGAAGAUAAUGACGGUACCGAUAUAAGAAGCCCCGGCUAACUUCGCGCCAGCAGCCGC
rnacentral:rRNA from 1 species